rnacentral:rRNA from 1 species
UACCAGCACCCCGAGUGGUCAGGACGAUUAUUGGGCCUAAAGCAUCCGUAGCCGGUUUUACAAGUCCUCCGUUAAAUCCAGCUGCUUAACAGAUGGGCUGCGGAGGAUACUAUAAGACUAGGAGGCAGGAGAGGCAAGCGGUACUCAGUGGGUAGGGGUAAAAUCCGUUGAUCCAUUGAAGACCACCAGUGGCGAAGGCGGCUUGCCAGAAUGCGCUCGACGGUGAGGGAUGAAAGCUGGGGGAGCAAACCGG